UUUAACAUUUCUUCUUCUUAUUCACAUUGAGAAAUCCAGGGUUAAGGGUUGUCCUAGGUCAGGUUCCCUAAAAGACCCAGGAGGAGGAUCCAUGUGCAACUGAAUCAUUAGGACAAUGCGCCCAGUAGAAAGAGGCAGCGG